AUGGCAGAAUCCUCUGGCUUCCCCCACCCCCACCCCCAGACCAGGAGGGCUCUUAAGUGGCUCCCUCCUACCCUCUGGGUGCAGAAGGGUGGGUGUUCAGUUUUUAAGUCGUUUUACCUAGGAGGGACGCCGGUCUCUUGGGAGGAGAAACAGGCCAUCCCUUCUGCAGCGGCUCCUGUCGGCUCCCUGGCUGCCUGGGUGGAGACAGCUGAGCCUCUGCCCCGACAGGCUUCAACAAUCCGGGGCAAUAAUAAGAAAAUAUCCAGGGCACACCUUCGUCUCUCGAGGUGAGAAAUGACCGUCUCCAUCAAUCGUCGCUUUUCCUGGAUCUCCUCAUAGACAGGUAGACGCCUCUCCCCGACCUGGGUCAUCCAUUCAUCCACAUUCAAUGUGGAUGCAAUCCCCCCCCUCCUCCCUCCCUCCUUUCCUUCCUUUUUCCUGCUCUCCUUUCCUCUAUCAUAGAUGCCAAUGCAUCCAGCAGCAACCUCCCGGUCACCACUUUUUUCAACUUAUUUAACCCCCCCCCGAAAAAAAAAAAAAAAAAACGGUUCGUCUAUUUCUCCUACCUCCCACCCCACCCCUGCAACCACCAAUCUAUUCUCCCCAUCUAUCAGCCGGAUAUUUAUUUAU
rnacentral:lncRNA from 1 species